UAAGGAAUAUUGGUCAAUGGACGCAAGUCUGAACCAGCCAUGCCGCGUGAAGGAUGAAGGUCCUCUGGAUUGUAAACUUCUUUUAUCUGGGACGAAAACGGGAUUUUUAUCUCAAUUGACGGUACCAGAGGAAUAAGCACCGGCUAACUCCGUGCCAGCAGCCGCGGUAAUACGGAGGGUGCAAGCGUUAAUCGGAAUUACUGGGCGUAAAGCGUGCGCAGGCGGUUUGUUAAGUCUGCUGUGAAAUCCCCGAGCUCAACUUGGGAAUUGCAGUGGAUACUGGCAAGCUGGAGUACGGUAGAGGAAGGUGGAAUUCCCGGUGUAGCAGUGAAAUGCGUAGAGAUCGGGAGGAACACCAGUGGCGAAGGCGGCCUUCUGGACCAGUACUGACGCUCAUGCACGAAAGCGUGGGGAGCAAACA
rnacentral:rRNA from 1 species